UUCUCUGUAUCUUUUACAAUGAGCUUCCCUGGUCAUUCAGGUGGCAAAGAAUCCGCCUUCAAUGUGGGAGACCUGGGUUUGAUCCCUGGAUUGGGAAGAUCCCCUGGAGGAGGGCAUGGUAUCCCACUUCAGUAUUCUUGUCUGGUGA